CCUACGGGAGGCAGCAGUGGGGAAUUUUGGACAAUGGGCGCAAGCCUGAUCCAGCAAUGCCGCGUGCAGGAUGAAGGCCUUCGGGUUGUAAACUGCUUUUGUACGGAACGAAACGGUCUGCUUUAAUACAGUGGGCUAAUGACGGUACCGUAAGAAUAAGCACCGGCUAACUACGUGCCAGCAGCCGCGGUAAUACGUAGGGUGCGAGCGUUAAUCGGAAUUACUGGGCGUAAAGCGUGCGUAGGCGGUUAUAUAAGACAGAUGUGAAAUCCCCGGGCUCAACCUGGGACCUGCAUUUGUGACUGUGUAGCUAGAGUACGGUAGAGGGGGAUGGAAUUCCGCGUGUAGCAGUGAAAUGCGUAGAUAUGCGGAGGAACACCGAUGGCGAAGGCAAUCCCCUGGACCUGUACUGACGCUCAUGCACGAAAGCGUGGGGAGCAAACAGGAUUAGAUACCCUGGUAGUCCACGCCCUAAACGAUGUCAACUGGUUGUUGGGUCUUCACUGACUCAGUAACGAAGCUAACGCGUGAAGUUGACCGCCUGGGGAGUACGGCCGCAAGGUUGAAACGUCAAAGAAAUUGACGGCUGAGACGNGCGAGACGACGACGAGGGAGGAGG
rnacentral:rRNA from 1 species